rnacentral:lncRNA from 1 species
GGAGACCGAGGAGGAGGGAAGACGAGGCCCGAGUGCCGCUGCCGGGGUGCCCCGGUGGUGCCCCGCGCCGCUAUAGCGGCGGCUGGGGGCGGGAGAGAGGCGGCUGCGGGGUAGAGGAGGAGGAACUGGGACGCGAUUGCAGGGGCGGCCGCACAGCUGCUGGAGGGCGUGGUUUCCUGCCCAACCAUGAGAUGCCAGAAUAUUGCUUGGCUGAAACAGCUUCGCAGCGAGAGGCUCGUGAGCGCCUGCUCUCCUACAUCCAUUUUUCUCCCAUCCAGUCAAGAGGCCUUAGUCUGGUGGCAGUAAAAAGGGGACUUCAGCGAGGGCUGUAAGGUGAGCAUCUUUGGGAACUGACAGCGUGAUGCCCUGCGCUCCCAUUUGUCUGUGAGGAGCCCUUGCCUGGGCCCAGGCACACUGAGCUCCAUCCGGAUGUACUGUGGCCCGGCAGAGGAGCCCGGCUCUUGGUUCUCUCUUCUUCC